AUGAAGCCCCAUUGUGCUCGUUGGAGUGCGGCAAUGGACCAAGUGAAGGAUGCACCGCCUAGUGGAACCGUGGAGAGUGACUAUGAGGCAAUUGCCGACUUGAGGUACAAGGAGAUGGCCGCUUCCAAGGGCAAAGCAUUCCCAUUUAAACAUGUUUGGAAAAUUCUUCAAACUUAUGACAAGUGGAAGUUGAGGGAUCAAGAGACCGCACCCAAGAAGUCGGCAAUGCUUAGGAUGGAUGAUAGUGAAGAGGAGGGAAGGAACGAGCACAAGCCCGCUGGAAACAAGAAGGAUAAGCUAAGGAAGAAGAUGGAAGGAGAGGCGUCAAGCAUAAGGGAGAAGAUAGAACAUAUGAUGAAGUCAAGGGAGGCAUUGACAAUGAAGACAUUGGAGACAAAGCUUCUUAUCAACGAGAAGAAGAAAGAGGUGAAGCUUGCACAAGUUGAAGCAAGGCGUGAAGAUGCCAAGCGCAAGGCCGACUUGGAGGAGAGGAUGAUCAAGGUCAAAGAAGCAAAGGCAUGGAAAGAACUCAUGGUGGAAGAGAAGGAGCACAUGAUGAUGUCCAAGAAAGACAUGGAUGAAGACCAAUUGAUGUGGUGGAAGGAGUACAAGCAGGACAUCGUGGAGAGGAAGAGGAUAUUCCGUGGUGCGUCCUCUACUCUUUGA
rnacentral:rRNA from 1 species